rnacentral:rRNA from 1 species
AUUGAACGCUGGCGGCAGGCCUAACACAUGCAAGUCGAACGGUAGCACAGAGAGCUUGCUCUCGGGUGACGAGUGGCGGACGGGUGAGUAACGUCUGGGAAACUGCCCGAUGGAGGGGGAUAACUACUGGAAACGGUAGCUAAUACCGCACAACGUCGCAAGACCAAAGUGGGGGACCUUCGGGCCUCACACCAUCGGAUGUGCCCAGAUGGGAUUAGCUAGUAGGUGGGGUAAUGGCUCACCUAGGCGACGAUCCCUAGCUGGUCUGAGAGGAUGACCAGCCACACUGGAACUGAGACACGGUCCAGACUCCUACGGGAGGCAGCAGUGGGGAAUAUUGCACAAUGGGCGCAAGCCUGAUGCAGCCAUGCCGCGUGUAUGAAGAAGGCCUUCGGGUUGUAAAGUACUUUCAGCGGGGAGGAAGGCGGUGAAGUUAACAGCAUCACCGAUUGACGUUACCCGCAGAAGAAGCACCGGCUAACUCCGUGCCAGCCGCCGCGGUAA